UACGAAGGAACCAAGCGUUAUCCGGAUUUAUUGGGUUUAAAGGGUGCGUAGGCGGGUUAUUAAGUCAGUGGUGAAAGCUCCUAGCUCAACUGGGAAAUUGCCAUUGAUACUGAUGAUCUUGAGUAUGAUUGAGGUGGGCGGAAUGUGUCAUGUAGCGGUGAAAUGCUUAGAUAUGACACAGAACACCGAUUGCGAAGGCAGCUCACUAAGCCAUAACUGACGCUGAUGCACGAAAGCGUGGGGAGCAAACAGG
rnacentral:rRNA from 1 species